rnacentral:rRNA from 1 species
UACUAUACUAAUGAAUAUUAUUAAAAUCUUAAUUAUUAAUAGAUAUAUUCUUUAAAUUUGAAGAAUUUGGCGGUAAUUUAGUCUUGUUAGAGGAACCUGUUUUUGAAUCGAUACUCCACGCAGAAUCUUACUCAUCUUAUUAUUAAAAGCUUAUAUACCAUCAUUAGCAGAUAAUUUUUAAAAAAUUAAUUAUUAAGGUUUAAAGAAAAGUUAAUUUAAAUUAGAUCAAGGUGUAGCCUAUAGAUGAGUUAAAAUGGGUUACAAUAAAAUUUAUUUAUAACGAAGUAAAUAUAGGAAGAAUAAUUUUAUAGAAGGAGGAUUUGAUUGUAAUGUAAGUUUAAUAAGCUAAAAAGAUAUAAGCUCUAAAUUAU